UACGGGGGAUGCAAGCGUUAUCCGGAAUCAUUGGGCGUAAAGCGCCUGUAGGUUGUUUAAUAAGUCUGUUGUUAAAGACUAGGGCUUAACCCUAGAAAAGCAAUGGAAACUACUAGACUAGAGUAUGGCAGGGGUAGAGGGAAUUUCUAGUGUAGCGGUGAAAUGCGUAGAUAUUAGAAAGAACACUGGUGGCGAAAGCGCUCUACUGGACCAUUACUGACACUCAGAGGCGAAAGCUAGGGUAGCAAAAGGGAUUAGAUACCCCUGUAGUCCUAGCCGUAAACGAUGGAUACUACAUGUUGUGUUAUUUCACAGUAUGGUAGCUAACGCGUUAAGUAUCCCGCCUGGGGAGUACGCUCGCAAGGGUG
rnacentral:rRNA from 1 species